UAAAAGCAAGACUGAAAACGGACUAAAAUAAGAUUGAACCAGGACUGAACCCAGACUAAACCAGAGCUGAACCAGGACUAAAACAAGAUUAAAACAAGACUAAACCAGGACUGAACCAGGACUAGACCUGGCCUGAACUAGGACUGAACCAGGACUGAACCAGGACCGAUUCAGGACUGAACCAGGAAUGAACAAGGACUAAACCAGGACUUAAACAAGACUGAAAAAGGACUAAAAUAAGAUUGAACCAGGACUGAACCCAGACUAAACCAGGACUAAAACAAGACUGAAACAAGCCUAAACCAGGACUGAACCAGUUCUAAACACGGUACUACUCGGUCUGUUUGAAACUCUAACGUCGCUUCGUCCCAGAUCGAUGUCCGUUCAUUUAAAGCAACGGUACAGUUCCAAGAUGGCGGCCUUGUUGACACGUUUGUUCCGGUCGUCACGGCGACAUGUACAGUUCUAGAACACAAAGAGAAAGAGCCCGGCCCGAUCUGAGCGUCGACAUGUGAAAUAUUUUAGAGCUGCACUUUAUUUUUGUCUGAGAACAGAGCAAACUAUUUUUAUUUAAGUCGAAAUGUUGCUGAACUCGUCGUGUUUUGGUGUUUUUGUGAGUUUGUGAAAUGUGGCUGUAUUUAAGUGUCAAAUAUGUAAAAACAGGACCAAAGGUUACAAGAUUUCACAUGUUUUUAAUGUUUUUAAUAGAGAAAAAAAAAAAAAACAAAACAAACGCACUUUAAUUUAGUGCCACGACUGAAAACCUGUUACAUCCUCUAAUGUUAGACCAGAACUAGAACUGAACCAGGACUAAAACAGGUCUAAACCAGGACUAGAACUGAACCAGGACUAGAACUGAACCAGGACUAGAACUGAACCAGGACUAAAACAGGUCUAAACCAGGACUAGAACUGAACCAGGACUAGAACUGAACCAGGACUAAAACAGGUCUCAACUGGGAUAACUUGAACUAAAUCAGGUCUAAACCAGGACUAAACAAGGUCUAAACCAGGACUAGGACUAAAACAGGUCUAAACCCAGGACUAAAACUGAACCAGGACCAGAACUGAACCUGGACUAAAACAGGUCUUAACUUGAACUAAACCAGGUCUAAACCAGGACGAGGACUAAACCAGGACUAAACCAGGUCGAUACCAGGACUCUACCAGAACUAAAACAGGUCUAAAUUCGGACUAGGACUAAACAAGGUCUAAACCAGGACUAGAACUGAACCAGGACUAGAACCGAACUAGGACUAAAACAGGUCUAAACUGGGACAUGGACUUAACCAGGUCUAUACCAGGACUCUGCUAGGACUAAGACUAAAUCAGGUCUGUCCCAGGACUCUUCCAGGACUAGAACUAAGCAAGGACUAAAACAGGUCUAAACUGGGACUAGGACUAAACCAGGACUCUUCCAGGACUAGGACUAAAUGAGGACUAAAGCAGGUCUAAACUGGAACUAGGACUAAACCAGGUCUAAAUCAGGUCUAAAUCAGGACUAGGACUAAACCAGGUCUAUACCAGGACACUGCCAGGACUAGGACUAAACCAGGACCAAACUAGGUCUAAACUGGGACUAGGACUAAACCAGGACUAGGACGAAACUAGGUCUGUACCAGGAGUCUUCAAGGACUAGGACUAAACCAGGACCAAACUAGGUCUAAACUGGGACUAGGACUAAACCAGGUCUGUACGAGAACACUGCCAGGACUAGGACUAAACCAGGACUAAACCAGAUCUAAAUCACUACUAGGACUAAACCAGGUCUAAAGCAGGACUAAAUCAGGUCUAGGACUAAACCAGGUUUAAACCAGGUCUAAACCAGGACUGGGACUAAACCAGGACUAAAACUGGUUUGAAACACAACUAAGGCUGAGUUCAUUUGACCUGGUUUAGUCCUGGUUUAGUUAGUCCUGGUUUAGUCCUGGUUUAGUCCCAGGUUUGAUGUUACACUACAGUAAAUUUAAACCGGACGACACCAGGACUAAACCAGGAUUAUCCUUGAUCUGGAACGUGACUGAACCAGGAAUAAUCCGGACUGAACCUGGACUAAAACAGGUCUAAACCCGGACUAACGAAGAAAAUAACAACCAUUUAGCGUAAAAGAACUUGACGAGUCCUUUUCUGACGCGCCGUUACGUGAAGUCCUUUUAAAAUCUUCAAUCCUGUACUGUAUAUUUAUUGCUUUUGGUAAAAAAAACUACAACUACGGCAGCCUCAGAGGGUCAAAAAUCGUUCACUUUCAAAUACAGCCAUUCUUCAAAACCUCUGAACGUGCUUUAUAUUUUGACAGAUUGUGGAGGCGCGUGUGGCGACGCUCGGACACGAAAUAUCUGCAGAAUAUUUUUGUAUGAAUUUUGAUUUAAGUUUGAGUUUUAGUGUCAAAACGCUGAGAAUUCAAAAGUGCAGAAGUUUAUCCACUGCUCAAAAAUGACAAGAAUCCAUUUUGUGUAAUUUAAGAUCUUUAAGUUUAGUGUCAUCUUUGCUCCUUUAAUACAUGCAUCCUGAAUUUCAAACUUCCGGUCGUCGCGCAAUCCAACCUGGGAAGGGUUUUCCAAAAAAGUGAGCAUCAAACCUCCAUGUUUGUUUUCCCAGUGGGAUGUGUCUAUUGACAAAGUCGAUCUUUUCAAGUCUUUUGAACCAUAUCACUUUUGUUUCUGGUUCUGAUAUUGUCAUAUUUUAGUUUUGGGAUUCGGACAUCGUAGUUGUGUGGUUGUUGGAUCCUAACAGCGGAAAACAGCUCGAGAAAUUUGUUUGCGAACUCCAUAAAUGCAAAAGGGAAUAAGAUGUGUGUGACUGUAAACCUCUGUUCAAACUGUUUCUCUUCCCAACGGAAUUGAAAAAUAGUGAAAGGUGAAGGUGAUGGGCAGGAUUGAUCCACAGGAAGAACCAAAAAGGAAACAUUUGUCUGACUAAGAAAUCAUCCUGAGUUUACAGAGAACAUUUUGUAUGUGGAGCGACGACAAAACAAAAUCCCGUUUGUUAAUCGAGAGGUGCAGAAGACAAACAGACUGAGCUGCACUUUCUUGUAGAGCCCGACCGAUAUGGAUUUUGUUGUGGCCGAUAUGAUAUCGAUAAAAUGGGAGUUGGAGCUGCCGAUAUAUUUGAUGUAAAAAUUCACUGUAAAUCUUGACUUGAUUAAAAAACUUAGGUUUGGAUCUAGUGGAUUUUAAAUUGGGUUUAUUUAGGCAACAUUUAUUGUUAUUCUGACUCUUUACGUCAUAUUUACAGACAGAAGGUCGGACUAUUGGCAUUUUGCAUCACAUUCUAGCAGCUAGUGAUGGGUGUUCCAGUUCUUUUUAGAGAACCAGCUCUUUUGGCUCGGCUCACUAAAAGCAGUUGGCUCUUUCGGCUCUACAGAUUGUUUUGUUGCAAGCAGGAUUAAACCAGGUCUAACCAGGUCUAAACCAGGUCUAAACCAGGUCUAAACCAGGUCUAAACCAGGACCGAAAAAGGACUAAUCCAAAACUGAUCCAGGACUGAGUGUCAGGACUCGGUCUCUAUCUCUCUCCGUCUCUCGAGCCCAAAAUUAAUCCUAGUUUAUUUAUUUUAUGCUGAACUACAGCCAAACAUGCAAGUUUUUUCUAUCCUAUGCACACGCAGAUAAUAUCGGCCAACCGAUAUAUCGGUCGGGCUCUAGUUUGUUUUAAAGUCGUUUUAGAUCAAUAUUUCAAUUUAAAAUGUCCAACCUAAAACAUAAUGAUCCUCGGGUGUCAAAGAUGAUAAAACAGACAAAAGCACUGGGUUGCAGGUCUAAAGCAAGUCUGAACCAGGACUAAAACAGAUCUAAACCAUGUAAAACAGUCCUGGUUCAGUUCUGGUUUAGUCCUGAGUGUCGGGACUCGGUCUCUAUCUCUCUCCGUCUCUCAAGCCCAAGAUUAGUCCAGGUUUAUUUAUUUUAUGCUGAAUUGCAGCCAAAUAUGCAAGUUUUUUCUCUCCUCUGCACGCGCAGAUUUCUGAACGUUUCAAGUCCCACGAGUCUGCACGCGACGUGAAGAGAAAAAAAAAAGUGAAAGUGAGAGAAAGAGAAAACACGGCUCUCAAUAAGGAGAACCAGAAACAAAAGCGAUAUGGUAAAAAACAACAAAAAAAACUUGAAAAUCGACGCAUCCCACUGGAAGAUCAAACAUGUUGGUUUGAUGUUCACUUUUUCGGUUGAUCCUUCCCAGUGUGGUUUGCGCGAUGACGGACGUUCUAAAUUCAGGAUGCUUGUAUUCUCCGCUGUCAACGUUACUGUGGUGAAGAAACUGAUUAUUUCUACAUGACGUUACUGAGAGGCCUUCUGCACUGUUCUCACACAUUAAAUAUUUACUCAGAAAAAACUGUUGAAUAAACUUUAUUUUUAAGCAACAACAACAAAA